rnacentral:rRNA from 1 species
UCGAGCGAAGCACUUUUUUAGAACUCUUCGGAGGGAAGAGAGGGUGACUUAGCCGCGGACGGGUGAGUAACGCGUGGGCAACCUGCCUUACACAGGGGGAUAACAAUUAGAAAUGAUUGCUAAUACCGCAUAAGACCCCAGUACCGCAUGGUACAGGGGUAAAAACUGAGGUGGUGUAAGAUGGGCCCGCGUCUGAUUAGGUAGUUGGUGGGGUAGAAGCCUACCAAGCCGACGAUCAGUAGCCGACCUGAGAGGGCGACCGGCCACAUUGGGACUGAGACACGGCCCAAACUCCUACGGGAGGCAGCAGUGGGGAAUAUUGCACAAUGGGGGAAACCCUGAUGCAGCGACGCCGCGUGAGUGAGGAAGUAUUUCGGUAUGUAAAGCUCUAUCAGCAGGGAAGAAAAUGACGGUACCUGACUAAGAAGCCCCGGCUAACUACGUGCCAGCAGCCGCGGUAAUACGUAGGGGGCAAGCGUUAUCCGGAUUUACUGGGUGUAAAGGGAGCGUAGACGGAAUUGCAAGUCUGAUGUGAAAAUCCGGGGCCCAACCCCGGAACUGCAUUGGAAACUGUAUUUCUAGAGUGUCGGAGAGGCAAGUGGAAUUCCUGGUGUAGCGGUGAAAUGCGUAGAUAUCAGGAGGAACACCAGUGGCGAAGGCGGCUUGCUGGACGAUGACUGACGUUGAGGCUCGAAAGCGUGGGGAGCAAACAGGAUUAGAUACCCUGGUAGUCCACGCC